UUCAGCACAUGCAGCACUAUUAUACAGAAUCAUCACAGAGCUGUGCUCAGAAAUGUCUCAAAUAUACAACUUACUGUACAUAGUGAGAUACACACCACUGAUUCUCACUCUAGUUACAGGCAAUUUUGCUGAUGAAAUUGGACCAAAGGAUGAAGAUGCCAACAAAGUCAUCAAGGAAACACACUCUGUUUCUCUGAGAUGUUCAUAUGUGUCAAGCAGUGAUUAUGUUCGCCUUUACUGGUACAAACAAUAUCCUUACAGGGCACCACAGUUUUUACUGUAUAAAAAUGCAAAGUCAGCUGGUUCUAGUGAACACAACCCUUCUGGCUCUCGAUUCAAGGUAGAAGCAACCUCAGACUCUACUGAACUUAUUGUAAAAGAUCCAAAACUCUCAGAUUCUGCACUCUAUCACUGUGCUGUUCUAGUAGUAGCACAGUAAUACAAAGUCAUUGACAGACUGUACAAAAACCUACGAUAUGGUUCAUUUGAAGUUGAAUGUUAAAUAUCAAAGAUACUUCCUUUACCACCUUAUCAGUUUACCACUGACACAAAAGACGUUUGUGGUAACAUUUGCAGCUGA